AAAUGGCCGCAGUAUUUUAACUGUGCAAAGGUAGCAUAAUCAUUAGUCUUUUAAUUGAAGGCUUGUAUGAAUGGUUGGACGAAAUAUUAACUGUUUCAUAGGAAUUGAUUUAGAAUUUUAUUUUUUAGUUAAAAAGCUAAAAUAAUUUUAAAAGACGAGAAGACCCUAUAGAUCUUUAUAUUUUCUAUUUUAUGAUUAUUUAGAUUAUUUAAGUUAUGAAUAUAUAAUAUAUUUUGUUGGGGUGACAUUAAAAUUUGAUUAACUUUUAAUUGAUUAUUACAUUAAUUUAUGAGUAUUUGAUCCAUUAAUAAUGAUUAAAAAAUUAAGUUACCUUAGGGAUAACAGCGUAAUUUUUUUGAAGAGUUCAUAUCGAUAAAAAAGAUUGCGACCUCGAUGUUGGAUUAAGAUAUAAUUUUGGGUGCAGCAAUUCAAUUAUUAAGUC
rnacentral:rRNA from 1 species